rnacentral:rRNA from 1 species
AACGAACGCUGGCGGCGUGCCUAACACAUGCAAGUCGAACGAGAAAGGGGCUUCGGCUCCGAGUAAAGUGGCGCACGGGUGAGUAACACGUGGGUAACCUGCCUCUAAGAUUGGGAUAACUCGUCGAAAGAUGAGCUAAUACCGAAUAAGACCACAGUUCCCGCGGGAACAGGGGUCAAAGGUAGCCUCUGCUUGCAAGCUAUCACUUAGAGAUGGGCCUGCGCACCAUUAGCUAGUUGGUAGGGUAACGGCCUACCAAGGCAAAGAUGGUUAGCUGGUCUGAGAGGAUGAUCAGCCACACUGGAACUGAGACACGGUCCAGACUCCUACGGGAGGCAGCAGUGGGGAAUAUUGCGCAAUGGGCGAAAGCUUGACGCAGCAACGCCGCGUGAGUGAUGAAGGCCUUCGGGUCGUAAAGCUCUGUCGGGAGGAACGAAUGCUCAUGAGGUUAACAGCCUCGGGAGGUGACGGUACCUUCAAAGGAAGCACCGGCUAACUCUGUG